rnacentral:rRNA from 1 species
GACGAACGCUGGCGGCGUGCCUAAUACAUGCAAGUAGAACGCUGAAGGAGGAGCUUGCUUCUCUGGAUGAGUUGCGAACGGGUGAGUAACGCGUAGGUAACCUGCCUGGUAGCGGGGGAUAACUAUUGGAAACGAUAGCUAAUACCGCAUAAUAGUAGAUGUUGCAUGACAUUUGCCUAAAAGGUGCAAUUGCAUCACUACCAGAUGGACCUGCGUUGUAUUAGCUAGUUGGUGGGGUAACGGCUCACCAAGGCGACGAUACAUAGCCGACCUGAGAGGGUGAUCGGCCACACUGGGACUGAGACACGGCCCAGACUCCUACGGGAGGCAGCAGUAGGGAAUCUUCGGCAAUGGACGGAAGUCUGACCGAGCAACGCCGCGUGAGUGAAGAAGGUUGUCGGAUCGUAAAGCUCUGUUGUAAGAGAAGAACGAGUGUGAGAGUGGAAAGUUCACACUGUGACGGUAUCUUACCAGAAAGGGACGGCUAACUACGUG